rnacentral:rRNA from 1 species
UACGUAGGGCGCAAGCGUUGUCCGGAAUUAUUGGGCGUAAAGAGCUCGUAGGCGGCUUGUCACGUCGGGUGUGAAAGCCCGGGGCUUAACCCCGGGUCUGCAUUCGAUACGGGCUGGCUAGAGUGUGGUAGGGGAGAUCGGAAUUCCUGGUGUAGCGGUGAAAUGCGCAGAUAUCAGGAGGAACACCGGUGGCGAAGGCGGAUCUCUGGGCCAUUACUGACGCUGAGGCACGAAAGCCAGGGUAGCAAACGGG